rnacentral:rRNA from 1 species
UACGAGGGGGGCAAGCGUUGUUCGGAAUUACUGGGCGUAAAGGGCGCGUAGGCGGUCAGCACAAGUCAGUUGUGAAAUCUCCGGGCUUAACUCGGAAAGGUCAACUGAUACUGUGCGACUAGAGUGCGGAAGGGGCAACUGGAAUUCUCGGUGUAGCGGUGAAAUGCGUAGAUAUCGAGAGGAACACCUGCGGCGAAGGCGGGUUGCUGGGCUGACACUGACGCUGAACUGCGAAAGCUAGGGGAGCGAACGGG